rnacentral:misc_RNA from 1 species
GAGCAAGCCAGGUACCAGCUGGCUUAACUCUUAGAAAUAGGAACAUAAACAACACAGUUUCACACAGACACCCAGUUUCAUACAACCAUGCAUAUUGUAUUUCAUUUCAAGUUAUUUAGUAGUACUUCCCAUCCAUUAAAGUUCUUCAUUUACCGCAGUUGCAGUCGGUGCAGCUGCAGCUGGAGCCGCACUUGCAUUUGGGGUCGUGCUCAGCGACGUCCAUCAUCCCAUCGAAGUAGCUCUUCUCAGUCUCCAUGAUCACAACGCCGAAGCUGUUGCUCUUCUUCACGCACUGGUUCUUGGCGGCGCAGUCGCAGUUACCGCAGGUGGAAGACAUGGUUGCAGAAAGCUUGGUGAGCUUUGAAGAAUGUUUG